rnacentral:rRNA from 1 species
CCCUUAGAUGUUCUGGGCCGCACGCGCGCUACACUGAUGCAUUCAACGAGUUUCUUCCUGGUCCGAGAGGAAUGGGUAACCUUUUGAAAGUGCAUCGUGAUAGGGAUAGACUAUUGCAAUUAUUGGUCUUCAACGAGGAAUUCCUAGUAGACGUAGUUCAUCAGACUGCAUCGAUUACGUCCCUGCCCUUUGUACACACCGCCCGUCGCUCCUACCGAUUGAAUGGUCCGGUGAAGCCUCGGGAUUGUGGCCAGUUCACUUUAUUGGGAGUUGGCUGUGAGAACUUGUCUAAACCUUAUCAUUUAGAGGAAGGUGAAGUCGUAACA